GGGCGCCCCGGUUUCCUCCCACAAGGAACAUUGAUCGGGUGGGUUAGGAUAAACAUAGUUAGGAAAGUAAUGUUACAAUUGUUGUAAAGCUAAAUAGUCUGGGCAAAAGUAAACGUAAUACUUCAUGUAAUCGUAUCGGUCACUGAGAAACCCCGGCCGUUAUGAAGUGAGCUGAAUUAGAAACACUUUAACCAAACCAUAU